GUGGGGCAUCCCACGGGUGUUAAAAGGAAGUGAUUCCGGCGGAGGAUGGGCAUGCGGCGCAUUAGCUAGUUGGCGGGGUAACGGCCCACCAAGGCGACGAUGCGUAGGGGUUCUGAGAGGAAGGUCCCCCACACUGGUACUGAGACACGGACCAGACUCCUACGGGAGGCAGCAGUGAGGAAUAUUGGUCAAUGGGCGGGAGCCUGAACCAGCCAAGUCGCGUGAGGGAAGACGGUCCUAUGGAUUGUAAACCUCUUUAGGCGGGGAGCAAUGCCGGGCACGCGUGCCCGGAGGGAGAGUACCCGCAGAAUAAGCAUCGGCUAACUCCGUGCCAGCAGCCGCGGUAAUACGGAGGAUGCGAGCGUUAUCCGGAUUUAUUGGGUUUAAAGGGUGCGUAGGCGGAUUUUUAAGUCAGCGGUAAAAUGUCCGGGCUCAACCCGGGCCGGCCGUUGAAACUGGGGAUCUUGAGUGGGCGAGAAGUAUGCGGAAUGCGUGGUGUAGCGGUGAAAUGCAUAGAUAUCACGCAGAACUCCGAUUGCGAAGGCAGCAUACCGGCGCCCGACUGACGCUGAGGCACGAAAGCGUGGGGAUCGAACAGGAUUAGAUACCCUGGUAGUCCACGCAGUAAACGAUGAAUGCUAGUUGUCCGGUUCUUUGGGACUGGGUGACACAGCGAAAGCGUUAAGCAU
rnacentral:rRNA from 1 species